AGAUUUUAAUUUCUUGAGUUCAUCCGACGCUAAGAAGAAGAUCCAAGAUUUUGAUUUCUUGAGUUCAUCCGACGCUAAGAAGAAGACUUAAGAUUUUGAUUUCUUGAGUUCA